AUUGAACGCUGGCGGCAGGCUUAACACAUGCAAGUCGAACGAGUGGCGGACGGGUGAGUAAUGCUUGGGAAUCUAGCUUAUGGAGGGGGAUAACUACGGGAAACUGUAGCUAAUACCGCGUACCAUAGGAUGAGCCCAAGUGGGAUUAGGUAGUUGGUGAGGUAAAGGCUCACCAAGCCGACGAUCUCUAGCUGGUCUGAGAGGAUGACCAGCACCCCGGGAAUGGAGACACGGCCCAGACUCCUCCGGGAGGCAGCAGUGGGGAAUAUUGGACAUUGGGGGCAACCUGACGCAGCCAUGCCGGGUGAAUGAAGAAGGCCUUCGGGUUGUAAUGUUUUUUCGGUAGCGAGGCGUUAACUACAGAAGAAGCACCGUCUACCCCCGUGCCAGCAGCCGCGGUAAUUC
rnacentral:rRNA from 1 species